rnacentral:rRNA from 1 species
CAGCAGCCACGGUAAUACGAAGGGUGCAAGCGUUACUCGGAAUUACUGGGCGUAAAGCGCGCGUAGGUGGUUCGCCAAGUUGGAUGUGAAAUCCCCGGGCUCAACCUGGGAACUGCAUCCAAAACUGGCGAGCUAGAGUAUGGUAGAGGGUGGUGGAAUUUCCUGUGUAGCGGUGAAAUGCGUAGAUAUAGGAAGGAACAUCAGUGGCGAAGGCGACCACCUGGACUGAUACUGACACUGAGGUGCGAAAGCGUGGGGAGCAAACAAGAUUAGAUACCCCGGUAGUCCCUGUCUCUUAUAA